ACUAGCUCUCCCAGCUGCUGUAAUUGCUGCUGCGGGAGAAAUUGGAGCUGCUGUCGCCGGCACGCCCGCCCUCCCCCACUGAGAAGAGCCACCGCCUCUUCUCCUGCGCUCCUUAUACACCUAUCGCCGGGAGCGGCGGCAGCAACAGUCCUUGGACUCACUGCCGCCUCCUCAGACAGCCGCUCUGCGGUUCAUUCCCGCAGCCCGGCAACUGAGGGCGGCCCCCUUUCCCUAGCCGGCUUCUCACUCCAGAUCGUUUGCUCCCUCCUUAACCUCGCCUGGGACCCACCUCCCCAUAGUCUCGUCGAGGUGGAGGACGAAGAGGAGGAGACGGGAGAGUCACCCUUCCUCCGUGCCGGCCCCCUCACCCGCGGGUGUGUCCUAUAAAUGGCGUCGGAAAGCGACACCGAGGAAUUCUAUGAUGCCCCUGAAGAUGUGCACCCUGUAGGGUAAGUAACGAAGCUAUAUGGCCCAAAAGCCGG
rnacentral:lncRNA from 1 species